ensembl:lncRNA
CAUGUUUGUUUCAAUCUCUCUCAGAUGAAAAGACCAGGAGCUAGUAGCGACACAUACCAGACUCUCCAGGUGACGGAUGAUGCUAAUGAUGCCUACCAGGUGAUCACCUCCAAGGGAAAGGGUCGCAAGAAGAAGGAAAAAAAGGCCCAAGACCCCCAGCAUGUCAGUGAAGAGAACCAGCCCAUUGAGUCUCCCCCACCGCUACCCCCACAUUGACCGCUACGUCUGAACAGAUCCCUGUCAGCUUUUAUCUUGUGAGGACCUUCUAGACAGUCUUCCUUCUGUAUCUAUAGUAGUCUUACCUUCCUGGCUUGUCACUGCAUGUAAGAAAUCCGCAGAUUUGGUUUAGCGCCAACCAGACUGGACUGGUAAAUGUCAGGCAGGGUUGUCUUUUCUCCUCGCUCAUCGUAUGCCUGCAAGCUCAAAUGGGUUUAUUGUUGGCUGGGACAAAAACAUUUGGGAAUAGUUUUUUUUCAUAAUUAAUUACAUAAUUUGUAGAAUUCAAAACAAUAAAACAACUGUGC